rnacentral:lncRNA from 1 species
GUUUUAUUCCCACAAGAUUCAACAUAAGAUAUCGUCGUUCAACUCUAGAGAUCAAUAGUCCACUAUCGAUUACAUUUUAACCAAUAGAAACAUCCUCUCAACGUAGAUCCUGGAUAUGUACGAUUGCUUGCCUCCCCGAACAUGAAAGUUGGGCACAGACUCUUGCUAUGUAAAAUGAGACUAGGAGUGUAACAAAUCCAUAAAAAACUACCAGUAAUCCGUAAUAAAUUCAAAAUAGAAUCUUUAUUAGAGACUUACACAAAUCACAAUUUAAGGAAAAAAACAGUAAAUCCAAUAUCAGCUGCGAAUACAAUCAAUGCGGCUCGAUCCAAAAUCACAAUUAACACCAUACAAAGGCAGAAGAAGCGAUUGGCAAAAGAAAGAUUAACGUGAACGCAAAAUUCAACAAACUAUGAAUAACUCUAGAAAUAAAAAGCUUCGCUGCAGAGAAAAGAGCAGCCUGUAUCAUGUACUUUUGUAACAAAACAGGAAAACAACGUCAGCAAUACGUGGCGGUAAGAAACAGAGUCAAUGCUAAAACAAAAAACAAAUCAAAAAAGACUGAUAAAACGUUAAAAAACAUAAAUGGUUCGUUUAGAAUUGCUAGUGUAGCAAGCUUUUGAAGGACCAGGUAAAUAUUAGAAAUUAUAUAUUUAUCCAAUUUACGGCGACAAUAACGACUUACCUGUUGGUGUUUCAUUGCUAAUUCAGAGUCGGCCAGAUUCUUUUACAUACUGCUACUCACGUUUUUUGGAGAUGCUUGUUGGUUCGAAGCACAGACACAAUAAAACUUCCAUAUGAAGGGGAAACGCGCACCUGUCGAAGUCAUCAUUGACGCAUGCACGCGUUACAAAUUAUAAUAGGUCAAAUUCAAUUAAGUCGGCUUCGCAGUGCAUUCAAAAACCUCUCAAUGCAGCAAUUCUAUAUUUAUUCUAAUUAAUAUUGGGAAAAGUUCUCUACCGACAUGCAACAUGACCGGUACGGAGAACAGAGGAGCAUAAUGGAACCUCAUUAGAUCGUAGAACAAAACCAGUUAACGAAUAAUUCGCAGUCAAUAUUACCACUGAGGAAUGGACAAACUACCUCAACAAACUGAAGAAGAGGAAAUCAUCAGGAUGUAUUUAUCUCAGAGAAGAACCAGGAAAGAAAAUUAAGCUUUACAAUCCUUAGCUACUAAAAGGAGGAAAAGAAAGGCCCAAGGAACUAUCGAGGUAUAAGCCUACUUAACGAAGAAAAAUAAGGCUUUAGGCAGAAUAGAUCAACAAUCUACUCUAUAUUCAUAUUGGUACAAAUCAUCGAGUCCAUAAAAUUCAGAAAAUUGCGUUCCUUUGUCCUUUUGACCUAAGUCAAGCAUUUGAUAGAGUGCUAAAGGAUAUGCUAAAAAGCCUGCAAGAACUAGGGGCCGACAACAAUAUAAUCCAGGUAAUAAAAUAACUCAAUACCAACAACACUACAAGAAUACACACAGGCACCUCAACCACAGAAGCAGUACAGAUAUCGAUAGGUAUUAACUAAGAGAAGAAAGACUGUGAUUUUGAGUCUUCGAGCUGGACCGCAUCAUAAACUAGAUAAGGUUACGGAAUAAGAAAAACCGUAUUCAAAAUAUUACACUAUGGAAAUGAUACGGUUCUCAUAACAUAAGACUGCAGAGAAUGCUAUGCGAGCAAAAUCAGGCCACAAAGAAAUAUAGCUAGAUGCCGAAAAGCAAAUAUCUGACAAUUAACAAAUAGCCGAUACUAUGCAAAAUGGCACUAAACAACCAAUCAAUCGAACAAGUGAUUAGUUUUGAAUACCUGGGCAUAAUGGCUUCAAGCAGCUAAAAUACAUAUGAGAAGGAGAAAACAGAAGUAAAUAAAGCAACAAGAGUAUCUGGCUGUCUGCAUUAUACUAUUUAGAAAAAGAAGCACAUGUUGAUUCAUAAUCAUAAUAAGAAACACAUAUUCGAAAAUCUAAAUAUCGCUAAAGAAAAAGAAUUUCUAGCUAAAAUUAUUAAGUUUCGCCUUAACGACGAAUACACGACUAGUGUUGAGAUUCAUGAAUCCUGGCGAUAAUGCAAAAUGUUUAUGUACGGGAGUAUAAAAAAUACUUUUUAAUGGUCCCCUACAAAGCUAUGUACAUUCAAUUUGGUAGUUAUUGGUUUAUUAAAUUUUUUUUUAUUAAACUAAAAUUGCAUUUUUA